rnacentral:rRNA from 1 species
GACGAACGCUGGCGGCGUGCUUAACGCAUGCAAGUCGAAUGGAAAGGCCCUGCUUUUGUGGGGUGCUCGAGUGGCGAACGGGUGAGUAACACGUGAGUAACCUGCCCUUGACUUUGGGAUAACUUCAGGAAACUGGGGCUAAUACCGGAUAGGAGCUCCUGCUGCAUGGUGGGGGUUGGAAAGUUUCGGCGGUUGGGGAUGGACUCGCGGCUUAUCAGCUUGUUGGUGGGGUAGUGGCUUACCAAGGCUUUGACGGGUAGCCGGCCUGAGAGGGUGACCGGCCACAUUGGGACUGAGAUACGGCCCAGACUCCUACGGGAGGCAGCAGUGGGGAAUAUUGCACAAUGGGCGGAAGCCUGAUGCAGCAACGCCGCGUGCGGGAUGACGGCCUUCGGGUUGUAAACCGCUUUCGCCUGUGACGAAGCGUGAGUGACGGUAAUGGGUAAAGAAGCACCGGCUAACUACGUG